ensembl:lncRNA
CUGGCAAGGGAAUCUGCAAUUCCUGUAGGGUCUUGUAACCAAUUGGACUGGCUGCAAAGCGAAUUUUUAAUGCCUCCUUAAUUGUUUCAGUGCUCCAUUUCAUACCUUUUGUGACCCAGGUAACUGGCUGAUGGUUCACUGGAAUGCUGACUGGCUGCUGACUGACUGGGUAGUGUCACCUGUCCCUGUCUCUCCUCUCUAGCCAUGUCCUCUAUUUCUUCACUGUCACUUUCCCUUCUCUGAGUGUCCUCAUUCUUUUUUUCCUCAACCUUUGAAACUGAUAGAGGCAGAAUACAUGGCAUUGCUAAUUUUAAAUAUUGAAAAUUUCACAUCACUUCAAAAUUAGAAAUAUUACUUCAACUAGUACGAGUUUGUACUUAUUAUAUAUGUAUUACCUGUAAUACUAUAGCUGUGAUCAGCAGCGAUUUGCUGUAUGUUUACAGGUCUGGGGGUGCAUCGUGGAGCAGGGGCCCUCCUCUUUUUGACCACAGGAUGAUGCACAAAGAUUGUGGAAAUAGCAUCUGGUCUCAGCCUACUCUUGAAUUUUUUGGUCAUGACAAAUUGGUUUGCCUCAAAAUGUGCCUGCAGAGUGACUUGAGUUUAGUUUCCACACACAACUUUUUUUUUUUUUUUUUUUUUUGUCUACCCACAUACGGUACAUAUCACAUGGUGGUUAAAUUCACAGUCAUAGGUAACACUGAUGACUCCCUGCAAUGUCUCACCAUGAGUCUCAGCUCCCUGGGUUUUGCAAGGCUUUGCUUGUUCCUUAUUUCUAGUAAAUAAUUUUCCAUGUAAAAAAGUACAAAUAAAUUUAAGUAUAAUUACCUCACAAAUUUUUUUGUUGUUGUAAUUUUUAUUUAUAUUUAGAUUGCUCCUGCUGACUUGAGCCAACCAUUUUUUUCUCCUCUCCAUGUCAGCAGGGAAGCCAUACAUCUGCACACAUUUCUCUGACCGAGUGGAGCAUCCCCAUGCAGCACAGCAAACCAUGGUGGAGACUAUGCAAGGACAACAUGAAAGAAAGGACACAUACAAAAUGCUUGGC